CAUUGUACAGUAUCCAUUCUGAACGGACACACCUGGCAUUCCCAGGUGUUUCUGAGAGACACAGGCCUCGACUCUGAGUGAGUCUUUGUGAGUGGGUAUGGCUGUCAGUGCACUGAGAACAACACUUCUUGCCUCUCAGGAUUUUGAAGCAAGAGCACCCCGAGUUGGCAGUCCUCGCAGACUCGGUUGACCUUCAGGAGUCCACAGGGAUAGCUUCCGACAGCUCCAGCGACUCUUCCAGCUCCUCCAGCUCCAGUUCGUCAGACUCCGACUCAGAGUGCGAGUCUGGAUCCGAGGGCGAUGGGACAGUGCACCGCAGGAAGAAGAGGAGGACGUGCAGCAUGGUGGGAAACGGGGACACCACCUCCCAGGACGACUGUGUCAGCAAAGAGCGCAGCUCCUCCAGGUGACCCAGCAAGGCUGUUGUCUGUAUGGAAGGACACGCUCGCGGCAAGGGCAGGGCCUGG
rnacentral:lncRNA from 1 species